AAGAGGCCGCGACCGGGAGACAACGCCCGCCCGGAGUCGUCACCGGAGAGGAUCCAACUCCUAGCAGCCGCAGCAAGAGGCCCUCCCACCCGUUGGCCCGUUUCCCUGCCCUGUUCACCAUGCAGCCUGCUUCUGCAGAGUGGUAUGAUCGAAGGGACUAUGUCUUCACUGAAUUUUGUGUUGAAGACAGUAAAGAUAUUAAUGUAAAUUUUGAAAAAUCCAAACUCACUUUCAGUUGUCUUGGAGGAAGUGAUAAUUUUAAACAUUUAAACGAAAUUGAUCUUUUUCAUUGUAUUGAUCCAAGUGAUUCCAAGCAUAAAAGAGCAGACAGAUCAAUUUUAUGUUGUUUACGAAAAGGAGAAUCUGGCCAGUCAUGGCCUAGGUUAACAAAAGAACGGGCAAAGCUUAAUUGGCUUAGUGUGGACUUCAAUGAUUGGAAAGACUGGGAGGAUGAUUCUGAUGAAGACAUGUCUAAUUUUGAUCGUUUCUCUGAGAUGAUGAACAACAUGGGUGGUGAUGAGGUUGUAGAUUUACCAGAAGUAGAUGGAGCAGAUGAUGAGUCACGAAACAGUGAUGAUGAAAAAAUGCCAGAUCUGGAAUAAACAAAUGUCAUCACCUGAAUUUUGAAAAAGAAAAUAACUUCACUGCAAGAUUUCAUAAUUGAGAGAAUUCCUGAGUUGAUAGCUCUAAAGGCAGAUGCUAU